UCGUCUAUCCUUAAUAUGUCUAUACAACACUGCCAAACGGUGGCCAAACUAAUAGGCCGUUCCAAGAUGCUGUCAAAAUUAAAACAAUAUGGCUACUGGAAGGCAAACAUUGAAUAUUAUUCUAUCAGGUUCUUAUGGUUUUAGAUCAUUUUAGUUGUUGUACAAAGAUUAAUUUAACAUUUUCUCUGGAAGUAUUAAUUUAGAAAGAUAAUAUGCCUCAUUGGUGUUGUGUUUUGAAGUGUGAAAUGCAAAGUAAUCGUGAUAAAGUUAGCUUUUACCACUUACCAUCAGUGCUACAUUCUAAGCACAAAACUGAACCAAUUUAACUAAAUAAGUUAUAGUUAUCAUCUGAGAGACAACAACAAUGGUAAAAUGCAAUAAAAUAUAAAGAUUUUACUAGCAAAAUGGAAAUUCCCCUGUAAUCAUCUUAUAUCUGGUAAGUUACAACAUUUGAACAUUAACGAUUUUUGAAGAUGUUAACAGUCUAAUCUUGUAGGAAAACCAGCCGACUUAACUGAUAAUAACAAUCCAGAUUGGGUUCCUUCAAUAAAUAUGGGGUAUAUAAACACAAUGAAAUGAGUUCCCCAAAAUCUAAAAUGGGAAUUAAGGUACCAAAGGAGAAUUAGAAGAAAAUGGUACCUACAAGAAAAAAUUGCUUUUUUAUUCCUCUUGAAAUGAUUUAUAAGACACUGGACUGUCUUAUAUUCUACAAAUACUAGAAUCAGCUGAGAGAAGUGGUCUACAAAAACCCAGGAAGGAAACGGAAUAUGUGGCUACGAAAGGCAAAAGAAAGGUUUACAAAGCAAAUGUGACACAUUUUUUUGAAAUAUUUAGGAAUAUCAGUAAAUUGCAUUAAAAAAAUGUAUGAAAAGAUUUUGUUCAAUAAAAAUGUUUAUAUUUA